GCACGAACUUAGCCCGUGCUUCCUCUGAGGCUCUGUCAAGUACAGGAGAGUACUCCCAUACACUUCAUCCCCUCUGACAGCGGUUUACAACCCGAAGGCCUUCAUCCCGCACGCGGCGUCGCUCGGUCAGGCUUGCGCCCAUUGCCGAAGAUUCUCGACUGCAGCCACCCGUAGGUGUCUGGCCAGUGUCUCAGUGCCAGUGGUGGGGGUCAUGCUCUCACACCCCCUAAGCGUCGUCGCCUUGGUGAGCCGUUACCUCACCAACAAGCUGAUACUGCGUAAGCCGCUCCCCAGGUGGAAUCACACCCAUUGCUUCCCCUUCCAUAAUGAUUGGGAAGAUUAUCGAGUAUUACCCACAGUUUCCCGUGGCUGUCCUCGCCCCGGGGGUACGUUACCUACGUGUUCCUACCCCGUUCGCCGCUGUCCCCCUUGCGGGUUCUCGCUCGACUUGCAUGCCUAAUCCACGCCGCCAACGUUCAUU
rnacentral:rRNA from 1 species